rnacentral:lncRNA from 1 species
AUUGGAAGAAAUUACUAAGGAUGGGUAAACCUUACACAGAAGAGUUGGCAUUUUUGCGUUACACCAAAUAAGGGAGCCCACAGGGAGUCUGUGAAGUUUUUAUAAGAGGCCUGUGAAAAUUUACCUGUGAAAAUUCAGGGAGUUUUGAUUUGCUUUGUAAAGCUCUGCUCUUCUGCUGGGACAAAAGAAAAAAAAGAAAAGAAAACUAGGAGCCUGCAAAAAAAGUAUAUGUUUAUGCUGUAAAUGACUGCAUGCUAACACCUCUGUAGUCAGUUCAGGAAAGGGAUCUUUUCACAAGGUGGGAAACAGUCCAAAUUCAGCCCUAAUUCAGUCCCUUAUGGUAUACAGAACUUGGUAGAAGGAAAUAAAGGAGAACUGCAUCAGCACCCCAGGAAAAAAAAAAAAAAGAGGUAUUGUUCUCCUUUCCCUUUACAUCUGUUCCCUAGCCUUUAAUCAUCCAUUAUCAGCUAUAGUUCUGCUAUGAUUAUUAUCAGAUAUCUAUUUCAGUGAGUAUAGCGUAAUGGUAAUGAAUAAUCUGGAUCUAUUGUUUAAGCAACUGUUAAUGAUUCUACUCAAUGUCUAAAUGAAAACAAAAUUUUUUCUGUUCCUUCAAGCAGGAUUAUUUAUUUUAUAUAUGUUAUAGAUAAAUGUUUA